ACCAUAAACUGUUAGCUCAAUACCUGAACGAAAACCGUGGGUAUUGUGCAUAAAUUAUGGUGUCAUCGUCAGGUCAUUUGCUACGAAUUACAGAGCGGUUUAUCCUACUCAACAAGGUUUAAAGUCGCCGCGCGAAGCCAAGAAAAAUUCGGUUCAAAUUUCAAGCAUGUUACGUCAUCUUAUUAAUCACGUGCUAGGUCACAUGCUCAGUGUGGUAAAAUAGAAAGUAUAAUCAGCGAUUCAUUCUUCUUCAGAAAGGCGUUGGUGCAGGAGACAUUUCGCUGAAGCAAAUUUAUAUUACCUUGGGAAAGGCAUCAUUUUUCGAUAAAAUCAUAUCGAGAUGGAAAAAAUUGUGAUCUUUGCACUCGUUAUCCUGUCAUGCGUUACACUUUCUUCAGGUAGUGACCAUUCCACGUCGCCAAGUCCACCUGGACCAAAAGGUAACAUAAUUUAACCCUUAAAACUCUCAGAUGUGAUUAACAUGUCACUUCUCCCUACAUUAUUCAUGCUUUAUCCAGCAAACAGAUAGUAAAAAUAUUUAAACUUCUCAGGUAGAAGUUGUUCGUAAUUCUCAUCACUAAUUUACAAGGAAAUGUGUAGCAGCUAAUGGAGAGAAUUAACAAUCAUCUUUGGAAUUAAGGGUUAAUCAUGUGGUUGGCAUUUUCCACUUUUAGUAUUACAUCAAGAGAGCAACUUCUACAUGAUAAGAUUGCGUAUUCUCAUUACCUGUUUGCUUGAUACUGUAUGGAUAUCUAAGGGAGAAGUUACAUUUUACUCACUUAAAGCUAUCCAUACUCAUUCACAUUGUCAGCAUUUGAUAAAUUACAGAUAGGAGAGAGAAAGUUUGGAAAAUCCCCAGAAUUUUAAUUGGAAAAUGAAAAGAAUUUUUAAGUACAUGCAGAGAACCCUUUCACUCAAACCUGAAUUCAAAAAGAGGGGCAUUUUCAAUCAUAUUUGGUGGACCAUUUCACUUGUAAUAAGGACCAAAUAAUACUUUCUGUCUACAAUUUUACACAGAAUGCUGAUCAGCUGAAAUAAAAACAUCAAUUAGGAAUUUUAAUUCAGAGCUAAAAUUAUGAGAAAUUUACCCUAGAGGCAAGAAAUCGAAGUUUAGGCUUUGAGUGUAAAAUAUUAAAGAGCAGGUAGAUCAUGCCCCUUUACGCCCCAGCAUUAGGAUACAUUUUCUCCUGACAGCCCUCUAUAUCUUUCCUAUGGUACUGAGAAGGAGAACUUGGUUGACAAUCAAGAGUUGCUUAAGCUGGUGAUCAUUUUGUUUAUUCUUGUGACCACAAUGUGUAACUCAGGGGUGAUACUGAAUGGAGACAUUAGACGCCAGUCACUCUUAGGGGUUAACCUUUUAUACUUUGCACAUUCUCCAUACUGUUCUCUAUAAAAUUUUCUGAGGUGCCUAACAAGGAGAAUUUGCUUUAUAAUCAAGAGCUCUGGUACUUGUUGAUCAUUUCCGUUAUUCUUGUGACCUUAAUAUAUGAUUUAGGGAUGAUACUGUAAGGAGAAAUUAGAUGCUGGUCACUCUUAAGGGAUAAAUGGUUUUGACAUAAAGGCUAAUCUGCUCUUUCUUUUUGUUUCCACAGUAACACCUUCACCAAGUUCACCACAUAUGGGAGCAUCAUCACGUAAGACUGUUGAUUUUUUUUCUUCAUUUUUAAAGCCCAAAGGAAGCAAAGAGAGAAUGUGCCUCAGAACGAGAUUUUAAUGAAAGUGGAAUUGGCUCAGACAAUUUAACCUUCUCUGCGGCCUUACUUAAAGCUCUCAAGUCCUGCACAUUGAGCACGAGACCUACCCAAACACAUUCAGUCUUAAGUUGAACCAAUUAUUUCAUGCAUUUAAAGUUUCUGAUUAAGUUGUUGAUUCUGAGUGAGCCAAUUGCU